GUAUUAAUUGCGUGUGAUCGCAAAAGAAAAACAUUCUACACUGUAUCGAGUUUGUGUGAAAACGCAAGCCCCCCUCCCGGAUCGGUUUGAUCCCAAAGGGUUGCCCACGCGGUGGUGCACAAAAGGGUGAGAUGGAUUUUUAUGUGAGAGGACACACUCUGGCGUGCACGACUCUUGUGGUAAAAGUCAGCGACAGCCCUCGCAUGCCUCACACAUUUUGUACGAUAAUGAUCCUUCCGCAGGUUCACCUACGGAAA
rnacentral:misc_RNA from 1 species